UACGAAGGGGGGCUAGCGUUGUUCGGAAUUACUGGGCGUAAAGCGCGCGCAGGCGGCUAUCCAAGUCAGUGGUGAAAGCCCGGAGCUCAACUCCGGAACUGCCAUUGAAACUGUUUAGCUUGAGGACGAGAGAGGUGAGUGGAAUUCCCAGUGUAGAGGUGAAAUUCGUAGAUAUUGGGAAGAACACCGGUGGCGAAGGCGGGCUCACUGGCUCGUAUCUGACGCUCAGGCGCGAUAGCGUGGGGGAUAAACAGG
rnacentral:rRNA from 1 species